AGAUUGAACGCUGGCGGCAUGCCUUACACAUGCAAGUCGAACGGCAGCACGGGAGCAAUCCUGGUGGCGAGUGGCGAACGGGUGAGUAAUAUAUCGGAACGUGCCCAGUCGUGGGGGAUAACGCAGCGAAAGCUGUGCUAAUACCGCAUACGAUCUAUGGAUGAAAGGCGGGGGAUCGCAAGACCUCGCGCGAUUGGAGCGGCCGAUAUCAGAUUAGCUAGUUGGUGGGGUAAAAGCCUACCAAGGCGACGAUCUGUAGCUGGUCUGAGAGGACGACCAGCCACACUGGAACUGAGACACGGUCCAGACUCCUACGGGAGCAGCGAGUGGGGGAAUUUUGGAC
rnacentral:rRNA from 1 species